UACGUUCCCGGGCCUUGUACACACCGCCCGUCACACCACGAAAGUCGGUAACACCCGAAGCCGGUGGCCCAACCCGCAAGGGAGGGAGCCGUCGAAGGUGGGAUCGGUGAUUGGGGUG
rnacentral:rRNA from 1 species